rnacentral:rRNA from 1 species
GACGAACGCUGGCGGCGUGCUUAACACGUGCAAGUCGAACGGAAAGGCCCUGCUCUUGUGGGGUGCUCGAGUGGCGAAGGGGUGAGUAACACGUGAGUAUCAUGCCCUUGACUUUGGGAUAACUUCAGGAAACUGGGGCUAAUACCGGAUAGGAGCUCCUGCAGCAUGGUGGGGGUUGGAAAGUUUCGGCGGUUGGGGAUGGACUCGAGGCUUAUCCGCUUGUUGGUGGGGUAGUGGCUUACCAAGGCUUUGACGGGUAGCCGGCCUGGGAGGGUGACCGGCCACAUUAGGACUGAGAUACGGCCCAGUCGCCUACGGGAGGCAGCAGUGGGAAAUAUUGCACAAUGGGCGGGAGCCUGAUGCAGCAACGCCGCGUGCGGGAUGACGGCCUUCGGGUGGUAAACCGCUGUCGCCUGUGACGAAGCGUGAGUGACGGUAAUGGGUAAAGAAGCACCGGCUAACUACGUG